rnacentral:tRNA from 1 species
GGAGAGGUACCCAAGCGGCCAACGGGAACAGACUGUAAAUCUGUCGGCGAAGCCUUCGGAGGUUCGAAUCCUCCCCUCUCCA